rnacentral:rRNA from 1 species
UCGGGAAUAUUGCGCAAUGGAGGAAACUCUGACGCAGUGACGCCGCGUAUAGGAAGAAGGUUUUCGGAUUGUAAACUAUUGUCGUUAGGGAAGAAAAAAGACAGUACCUAAGGAGGAAGCUCCGGCUAACUACGUGCCAGCAGCCGCGGUAAUACGUAGGGAGCAAGCGUUAUCCGGAUUUAUUGGGUGUAAAGGGUGCGUAGACGGGCGAUCAAGUUAGUUGUGAAAUCCCUCGGCUCAACUGAGGAACUGCAACUAAAACUGGUUAGUCUUGAGUGCAGGAGAGGUAAGUGGAAUUCCUAGUGUAGCGGUGAAAUGCGUAGAUAUUAGGAGGAACACCAGUGGCGAAGGCGACUUACUGGACUGUAACUGACGUUGAGGCACGAAAGUGUGGGGAGCAAACAGGAUUAGAUACCC